CUCAGAUUGAACGCUGGCGGCAGGCCUAACACAUGCAAGUCGAACGGUAACAGGAAACAGCUUGCUGUUUCGCUGACGAGUGGCGGACGGGGGAGUAAUGUCUGGGAAACUGCCUGAUGGAGGGGGAUAACUACUGGAAACGGUAGCUAAUACCGCAUAACGUCGCAAGACCAAAGAGGGGGACCUUCGGGCCUCUUGCCAUCGGAUGUGCCCAGAUGGGAUUAGCUAGUAGGUGGGGUAACGGCUCACCUAGGCGACGAUCCCUAGCUGGUCUGAGAGGAUGACCAGCCACACUGGAACUGAGACACGGUCCAGACUCCUACGGGAGGCAGCAGUGGGGAAUAUUGCACAAUGGGCGCAAGCCUGAUGCAGCCAUGCCGCGUGUAUGAAGAAGGCCUUCGGGUUGUAAAGUACUUU
rnacentral:rRNA from 1 species